UACAGAGGAUGCAAGCGUUAUCCGGAAUUAUUGGGCGUAAAGAGCUUGUAGGCGGUUUGUCGCGUCUGCCGUGAAAAUCCGGGGCUCAACCCCGGACUUGCAGUGGGUACGGGCAGACUAGAGUGUGGUAGGGGAGACUGGAAUUCCUGGUGUAGCGGUGAAAUGCGCAGAUAUCAGGAGGAACACCGAUGGCGAAGGCAGGUCUCUGGGCCACUACUGACGCUGAGAAGCGAAAGCAUGGGGAGCGAACAGG
rnacentral:rRNA from 1 species